GAAGACUCUACGAUAGGGGAUGAAGAGCAUCAGCUUUGCAUGCAGAAGGCUCCAGGUUCAAUCCCUGGCAUCUCCA